UUCCCAGGAUUAUUAAAUAUAAUUUAUGUUGACAAAGGGGAGAGCGUCUAUGAUGCUGGACAUUUGCUGUAAAGAACGCCCAAUGAGCCACGGCGGAGUGGACAGAGCCUGCAUCCACAGUGACUUCCAUGAGUCACAGGGCAGGGAGGGAUAUGCAGCAUGGGUGGAUUCAGAUUGUGUUGACAAAACCCUCAGAAAGACAGAACGCAUUGGGGUGAGCAAUGAAGCCGUGGUGCAGUCUGGUACAGCAGCUCUGAGAUGCCAAGGGGUCUUCGCUCUGUUUCAGUUGGUGGCAGGGAAGGAUUUGGAGAAUCUUCCUUCUAGAUCCGCAACUUCCUGGUUGCCCUAAGAAAUCAACUGAAAUUAGUACCACACAACAGGGACUGACUGCCCGCCCUGCUGUUCCCUAAAAGUGAACCUCCUGUGACUCUCACACCAAGGCUUGAAGGAGUUAAGAAUUGAGGCUCCUGCACUGAAGUAAUUUACCCCAAAGUUUCACAGGUGUCACACGGGAGAAGAGUGAAGCGGUCCUUUGAGCCAAGACAGUGUGAGGAAGUGUGAGGGCUGGAGAAAACUUUGGAUAUGCAAAAUUAGAACUCACCCUCUAGAGCUACCAUGAAGGUCCCGUACAAGCUUCCUCCUUCCUGUCCCAGUGCACGAAAAGAAAAUUCCAAUCAGCUCCUCAUGCAUCUUCAAUGCCUGCCCCAGGCACCACGUCUGGUCAAAGGUCACAUAUACCCUACACAGGCUUAUCUGGGCAGAAGAGAAAGCCAAACCCUUGCUGGUUGUGGGCUCCUCUCCACCCCUUUAAAUAAAAAGGUCAUUUUUACUUUUUCUUA